AGUGGUUUGAACUUUAGCUCGUGUCUCAACGCGCGAUAGGUGUACGCAACAAUUGAAAUCCCACGUUUCAUGGGUCGCUUGGAGCGUGAAGCAGAACGUCGAAUGGUAUCGCGUGGCUGCAUUCUUUCGCGGUAAACGCGUGUCCCGCCUAACCGCCUAAGUGUCGAACAAUGGUAGGCUAAAUUCGAUCGUCCGCUGAAUAAAAGACCUUCGCGGACAGAAUGGUCGGAAACGCUCUUGGGACCCUUCCCAGGAAGGCUUGCAAUUAAUGUAAAGAAAGACAACGACUGUUGCGCAAACCCGAAAGAUUCAUCUUUCUUCGCGACGGAGACUAAUGGCGCGGGUGUCUUGUCGCGAUCAAGGGAAACCAGCGAGGAUCAUUGGAAAUGUUCGAAAAAUGAAACGGAAUACUCGCAAUCACCGAAGUGCUAAGAAACCCCCGCAAGGAAUCGAACAACGCAAUUAAAGGAAAACAGAUAACGAGCGAAGGAAGCUCAUCGCAGCAGGGCUCUCUCGAUUUCCGAGAGAGUCGCUGGUAUAUUACCACAAUUUAUACGUGAUCCCGAGAGACUCUGAAUGAUCCUCGUAUUGCGUGGCUUGGGAUCCUCGUUCGCGUGGAAAACUGAAAGGAACGCUGGGAAACGUAAACGCAGCGUGGAUCAACAGUUUAAUCCCCGACUGGUACUCGGAUCAAAAUGGACCCCCGCUGGUUCUGUCGAAGCGUCGCGGCGUUAUUGGUAGCAUUUUACGUUAAUCCUACCAUUCACGAAAUCGUAACGGGUUAAUCUUGCGUCGACUUAAAUAUUUUUAUCCCUACGUAUUUUACCCGUCUACGCUGGGAAGGCUUUUCGAUUCGCCCCUUCUUUCUUCACGAAACAAUCUAGAUUCCAGCAGGACUCUUUUUCACGGUUAAACAAUUUUAACGGGUUAGAGGUUCGUCUGUUUCAGAGCGCGAAACAAAAAUACCAAGGAAUCGUUACGCUUGUUAGACGUAACUCGAUUUACGCGCGAGCACAGGCGUCGGAGGUGCAAUUAAACAUUGUUCUUUUUCCGUGGGAGGAAAAUCGUCGAUGGUGCUCUCCUGGCGGAAAUUUUUUCACGAUUUUCGUAAAAAACGUUCAACGUUACAAAUGAAAUAGCUGGAGGUAUGGAAGAGGGGAGAUACGGCCCCUUCCAUUCCUCGACUUCUCGUACUAAUUUGACUAACAACAACAGCGAGGACAGUCGGGUGGGCAAGAAGGAAAGGAACAUCGGAGAAGACGGUGAGCAGCCUCGGUAUAGGUCAGUUACACAAUAAGAUAGCGACCUGGUUAAAAUUACUCGCGAACUAUUUAAAAAGUAAAUCGAAUACACCCCGAGGCCGUUGUCCGAACCGUGUACCGUCAACUUCCUUUCGUUCUUCGUCAACAAAGUUCCUAUUCCUGGAUAUAAUUGUUAUUAUUAGAAGUUUACUCUUCUUUCGGUCAUAAUUAAUUUUUUUAUUUAUAUCUUUUUUUAAUGCUGGAUGGGGUAUCCUGCCGAUGAGACGAUGUACUAUUCUGCGAUGAAUAUUUUACAAUACAUGUGCCAUUUGAUAAUCCAGUUCACUUUCGUUUAUUUCUAACCAAACUAAUAAUUUUCAGUUAGUUCAUUCGGUAUGUGAAAGCUUGAAAAAUCAAUUUUAAUUGAAACACAAUUUAUUAGAGUGGUCAGCGCGGUUCGAAACCGCGGCGCUUGCAAUGCAAUUAUUUAAAUUAGCGAUUCCAGUGAUUUUUCAAAUCAAUAUUUUGUCUGUGCACGAUGGCCACGUAAUUUCGCUAACGUUGGAAAUAUUAACGAGUAUGCGCAAACAUUCAUUGCGUUUGAUUUUUUCGCGACGAACCAUAUAAAUGGGAACUCUGUGUAGCAGCUGUAUUAUUUGGGUCAAUGUACAAGGUGUAUUGAUAAAAGAUAUUUGAUAUAUUUCUAUUAUAAAAAUUGAAUGGUUUCAAGACAGCAUAAUAUGUUUCUUUCCAGCUUAUAUUAGUAAGAAAGAUCGAGUAACAAAGAUUCGUGUUCUCUUUCGUAAAUAAGAGCCUCAAGGUUGUUUGGUUGAACUUUCAUAGCUUUUAUCAAGUAACGAAAGUAGUUGUGAAUUGUAUUCUACUUGAUUCAUUGCAAUAACCAAUUAUGUUAGAAGCAUAAUUGAUUAAACAAUGAAGGAAAUGCGUUUCACGGGGUGAAAAAUGGUAUCGCCAUCUCGCGGUGAAUGUUGAAUUAAAUUUUAGAUAUAUUGUAUAUCUAUAUCUAUCUAUC